GAAUAUAGUUACACCAAGGAUACAAGGCAGAUAAGGCAUUCUUAAAAUUACUGAAACAUAGUAAGGGCAUCCUAGUCAACAUUAAAAGAUAAAAGCAUUGGGAGUUCCCAAAAAUAUUUGUAGAGUACCAAAAUUGCCAACCAAUAAUAAAAAACCAUAGAUCCGAUCUGUCUGCAACAGUUAAAUUAAUGCAGUCAUAAUAGUAUUGUAUUGAAAUAAUGAAAAUAUGCAUUUCACAUACUAACUAUUAGCCCACUAAAAAUUAAGCAACCAAUCUUUCAGUAGGGCCCUUUCCGCUCCAGUUGAAUUAAAAAGCAAGCAACAAUAAGGCAAGGGUUAGUUUGACAAUAAUUAGGCCCAAUUCAGUCCCAGAAUGCCAAUUGACCACAUUACGACAAGCAAGUAGCAAUAAUCAAGCAAAUUAUUAACUCAAUAUCAUUUAUUACAGCAAAAUAGCAAUUUUGAUGUACCCCUUAACUUCUUUACUCGUAAGAGCAAUAUCCGGUAGUCAAACCACUGAAAUAAAAAUUUCUACUAAUCAUACAACAUGACAGAAAAACACAUAAAUCUGAGGCCCUCCAACAUCUCCUUUACUUGUCAAAGAACAAUCAAAGCAGGAUAAGUUAACAAGAAUGGAUAUAAUCCAUAAACAUUGAUCUGAAAGGGCUUCUUUUAUAUGGUUCUAAUUAAAGGUUGCAGAUCUGUAAAAGAAGCACAUAAAUGGCAUCUUCUUGUAAAAAAUUGAAACCGAACUGCAUGUUUAUAGUAAGGCUAUAAUAAAUUUCUUUAACCAUCACAAAUAUAUCAAAAGCAGUAAUGAACUUACUGCACCCCAUAAUGCACAUCACAAUGAUUACAAUGACCUGAAACACCGUAUUUAUCAAAAGUAAUAAUCUGAAAAGGAAAACAAAAAUAUUAAUGGUCAAUUAACAUAAUUAUGUAAUGUUAAAAGCAGCCAUGAUAUUCAAAAAAUUUACUACUCCUUAACAUAUACAAACUCAGGAACCUUAAAAAUAGUAACCUAAUAAUUUGAUCACGGUAAGAAACAGCUUAAAUAGUUAAUAGGAACCAAAAAGAUCUUACCACAUCAAUUUCAUGACUGGAGACAUCAUCUUUAAUGAUCUUCGCCAAUAAGUUAUGGUCCCAAAUUUGGCCAAAGCCAUCCUGUAACUCUGGAUGGUCCAAAACAUUCACUUGUUGAACUGGAACCUUGAGAACAGCACAAGCUUUAUAGAGUUCAUGUUUUCUAGCAUUUCCCAUACCAUCUGCAUUACCAAUCGACAAGCAUAGAAUGUGAAGAUUAUGCCCUCUCGAAAUCAGAUAGCUAAUUGUUGGAGAAAAGAACAUGGAUUCAUCAUCAGGGUGAGCAACAACCAGCAGGACAUUUUUCUUGCAAAAAGCUCCACCAUUGCUCAAAAGAAAAGUCCUGGAAGGUAACCUCGAUGUAUGGAUAAUUUUGCAUAAGGAUGCAAUCCAGAGUACAAUUAGUGACAGGACAACCACUAGCCAGCUCAUCUACCAAGCAAUUGCGUGAUACAAAGUCUUUUUUCUCUUUAUUCAGCAAUUUCUUAUCUCUUUAAUUGAAUGGCCAACCUUAGUGAGCAGAAAAUAAGUCUGCAACGAAUGAGUUACUGGAAAUCUGCUCAGAACGAUUCUGUGUUGAGACCGAUGGAACCGAAGAAAAGGAAACGAGGUGAAGUUCUCGUCCCAACAGAAAUGGCCAAGAGAAACGGCCGAAGAGCUUUUGGAGCAGAAAUUGAGAACCUGAGGAAUGAGGG
rnacentral:misc_RNA from 1 species